rnacentral:tRNA from 1 species
AGCGGGGUGGAGCAGUGGUAGCUCGUUGGGCUCAUAACCCAGAGGUCGCCGGUUCGAGUCCGGCCCCCGCAACCA